rnacentral:rRNA from 1 species
UACGUAGGGUGCGAGCGUUGCCCGGAUUUAUUGGGCGUAAAGGGCGCGUAGGCGGCCACGCACGUCCGUUGUGAAAUCGCUCGGCUCAACUGGGCGGGGUCAGCGGAUACGGUGUGGCUAGAGCAAGCUAGGGGGCAAUGGAAUUCCCGGUGUAGUGGUGGAAUGCGUAAAUAUCGGGAGGAACACCAGUGGCGAAGGCGGUUGCCUGGAGCUUUGCUGACGCUGAUGCGCGAAAGCGUGGGGAGCGAUCCGG